rnacentral:rRNA from 1 species
CCUACGGGCGGCAGCAGUGGGGAAUAUUGGACAAUGGGCGAAAGCCUGAUCCAGCCAUGCCGCGUGUGUGAAGAAGGCCUUCGGGUUGUAAAGCACUUUCAGUGGGGAAGAAAGCCUUGGGGCUAAUACCCUCGAGGAAGGACAUCACCCACAGAAGAAGCACCGGCUAACUCCGUGCCAGCAGCCGCGGUAAUACGGAGGGUGCGAGCGUUAAUCGGAAUUACUGGGCGUAAAGCGCGCGUAGGCGGUCUGAUAAGCCGGUUGUGAAAGCCCCGGGCUCAACCUGGGAACGGCAUCCGGAACUGACAGGCUAGAGUGCAGGAGAGGAAGGUAGAAUUCCCGGUGUAGCGGUGAAAUGCGUAGAGAUGGGGAGGAAUACCGAUGGCGAAGGCGACCUUCUGGGCUGGCACUGACGCUGAGGUGCGAAAGCGUGGGUAGCAAACAGGAUUAGAUACCCGAGUAGUC